rnacentral:piRNA from 1 species
UAAAAGCAGCCGUCUUUGCUUCUUGGCUUC